AGAAUCAACGCUGGCGGCGUGCCUAACACAUGCAAGUCGCACGAGAAAGUGGAGCAAUCCACGAGUAAAGUGGCGCACGGGUGAGUAACACGUGACUAACCUACCCUUGAGUGGGGAAUAACUGAGGGAAACCUUAGCUAAUACCGCAUAAUACCUACGGGUCAAAGGAGCAAUUCGCUUAAGGAGGGGGUCGCGGCAGAUUAGCUAGUUGGCGGGGUAAUGGCCCACCAAGGCAGUGAUCUGUA
rnacentral:rRNA from 1 species